rnacentral:rRNA from 1 species
CGCGAAUCGCCCUUCGGGGUGCAGCAGGCGCGAAAACUUUACAAUGCGGGAAACCGUGAUAAGGGGACACCGAGUGCCAGCAUCAUAUGCUGGCUGUCCAGGUGUGUAAAAUACACCUGUUAGCAAGGGCCGGGCAAGACCGGUGCCAGCCGCCGCGGUAACACCGGCGGCCCGAGUGGUGAUCGUGAUUAUUGGGUCUAAAGGGUCCGUAGCCGGUUUGGUCAGUCCUCCGGGAAAUCUGAUAGCUUAACUAUUAGGCUUUCGGAGGAUACUGCCAGACUUGGAACCGGGAGAGGUAAGAGGUACUACAGGGGUAGGAGUGAAAUCUUGUAAUCCCUGUGGGACCACCUGUGGCGAAGGCGUCUUACCAGAACGGGUUCGACGGUGAGGGACGAAAGCUGGGGGCACGAACCGGAUUAGAUACCCGGGUAGUCCCAGCCGUAAACGAUGCUCGCUAGGUGUCAGGCAUGGCGCGACCGUGUCUGGUGCCGCAGGGAAGCCGUGAAACGAGCCACCUGGGAAGUACGGCCGCAAGGCUGAAACUUAAAGGAAUUGGCGGGGGAGCAC